GUCUAUUUGAAGAUAUAAAAAGUCUAACCUGCUCACUGAUGAAAGAUAAUUUAAAUAGCCGCGGUAUUUCUGACCGUGCAAAGGUAGCAUAAUCGUUAGUUUCUUAAUUAGAAUCUUGUAUGAAUGGUUUGACAAGAAAAAAUCUGUCUUUAUAAUUAUUUAUUGAAUUUAACUUUUAAGUGAAAAGGCUUAAAUAAAUUAAAAAGACGAUAAGACCCUAUAAAACUUGAUAUUAAUAAUUUAAUCAAUAGAAAUUUAACGUAGUUUAAAUAUUUUAAUAAUUAAUUAUUAUUUUGUUGGGGUGACAAUGGUAAAAUGAUUAUUAACUGUUAAUUAUUUUAUAACAUAAAUUAUUGAAUAAUAUUAUAUAAAUGAUCCUGUAUAAAGAUUAAAAGUUUAAGUUACUUUAGGGAUAACAGCGUUAUUUUUUUUGAGAGUUCUUAUCGAGAAAAAAGUUUGCGACCUCGAUGUUGAAUUAAAAUAUCUAUAUAAUUGUAGUAGUUAUAUAAGAAGGUCUGUUCGACCUUUAAAUUUUUACAUGAUUUGAGUUCAAACCGGUGUGAG
rnacentral:rRNA from 1 species